AUAACGACUCUCGGCAACGGAUAUCUCGGCUCUCGCAUCGAUGAAGAACGUAGCGAAAUGCGAUACUUGGUGUGAAUUGCAGAAUCCCGUGAACCAUCGAGUCUUUGAACGCAAGUUGCGCCCAAAGCCAGCAGGCUGAGGGCACGUCUGCCUGGGCGUCACGC
rnacentral:rRNA from 1 species